rnacentral:rRNA from 1 species
GGCGAGGUGGCAGCGUCCUAUACAUGCAAGUCGAGCGAACAGACAAGGAGCUUGCUCCUUUGACGUUAGCGGCGGACGGGUGAGUAACACGUGGGUAACCUACCUAUAAGACUGGGAUAACUUCGGGAAACCGGAGCUAAUACCGGAUAAUAUUUCGAACCGCAUGGUUCGAUAGUGAAAGAUGGUUUUGCUAUCACUUAUAGAUGGACCCGCGCCGUAUUAGCUAGUUGGUAAGGUAACGGCUUACCAAGGCGACGAUACGUAGCCGACCUGAGAGGGUGAUCGGCCACACUGGAACUGAGACACGGUCCAGACUCCUACGGGAGGCAGCAGUAGGGAAUCUUCCGCAAUGGGCGAAAGCCUGACGGAGCAACGCCGCGUGAGUGAUGAAGGUCUUCGGAUCGUAAAACUCUGUUAUUAGGGAAGAACAUACGUGUAAGUAACUAUGCACGUCUUGACGGUACCUAAUCAGAAAGCCACGGCUAACUACGUGCCAGCAGCCGCGGUAAUACGUAGGUGGCAAGCGUUAUCCGGAAUUAUUGGGCGUAAAGCGCGCGUAGGCGGUUUUUUAAGUCUGAUGUGAAAGCCCACGGCUCAACCGUGGAGGGUCAUUGGAAACUGGAAAACUUGAGUGCAGAAGAGGAAAGUGGAAUUCCAUGUGUAGCGGUGAAAUGCGCAGAGAUAUGGAGGAACACCAGUGGCGAAGGCGACUUUCUGGUCUGUAACUGACGCUGAUGUGCGAAAGCGUGGGGAUCAAACAGGAUUAGAUACCCUGGUAGUCCACGCCGUAAACGAUGAGUGCUAAGUGUUAGGGGGUUUCCGCCCCUUAGUGCUGCAGCUAACGCAUUAAGCACUCCGCCUGGGGAGUACGACCGCAAGUUGAAACUCAAAGGAAUUGACGGGGACCCGCACAAGCGGUGGAGCAUGUGGUUUAAUUCGAAGCAACGCGAAGAACCUUACCAAAUCUUGACAUCCUUUGACAACUCUAGAGAUAGAGCCUUCCCCUUCGGGGGACAAAGUGACAGGUGGUGCAUGGUUGUCGUCAGCUCGUGUCGUGAGAUGUUGGGUUAAGUCCCGCAACGAGCGCAACCCUUAAGCUUAGUUGCCAUCAUUAAGUUGGGCACUCUAAGUUGACUGCCGGUGACAAACCGGAGGAAGGUGGGGAUGACGUCAAAUCAUCAUGCCCCUUAUGAUUUGGGCUACACACGUGCUACAAUGGACAAUACAAAGGGCAGCGAAACCGCGAGGUCAAGCAAAUCCCAUAAAGUUGUUCUCAGUUCGGAUUGUAGUCUGCAACUCGACUACAUGAAGCUGGAAUCGCUAGUAAUCGUAGAUCAGCAUGCUACGUGAAUACGUUCCCCGGGUCUGUACACACGCCCGUCACACCACGAGAGUUUGUACACCCGAAGCCGGUGGAGUAACCAUUGGAGCUAGCGUCGAAGUGGACAAUGAAUUGGGGGUGAGUCGUAACAGUAGCGGUAUCGAGUCCUGGGGGGCACCCUCUCAUAUACUAUAUA